GUGACCUUAGGAUUGCGUCUCUGCUAUUCGUGGAUGACGUGGUUCUAUUGACUUCAUCAGGGCGUGAUCUACAGCUCUAACUGGCAUGUAUUUCAAGUAUUUAUCAAUUGUUUUUGCUUUUUUGUUACAGAGAUGGAUGAUGAACUAUCUAUGAAUGGGUCAAUAGCUAGUUUUAUUUCUGAGGAGCCAGGAGGAAGUCGUGUUGCUGAAUUUCCUGUUGAUGAGACUCCUGUUGCUGAAGCUCAUAAAGUAAAUGUUAAAACCAGGAGGAAGAGCAAAUUAGUAAAAGCCCUAGAUAGUACAAUAGAGGCAUUCGUAGAUGCUCAAAGACAUUCUGAUGACCGCUGGUUGGCAGCAUUUAAAGAACAGCAGGAGUCGGUCCAACGCCACCUACGACAGCAGCAAGAACAGCACCUAAACCUCUACCAGAAGUAGAAAGAAACCGACUUCAAGCUGAAGAGAGAUUGAGAAAACAGGAACAGGAACAUGAGAUGCAACUGAUGCAGAUGAUGGUCCAGCGGCUGCCGCAGCAACCAGCACAACUACAGGCCCUGAACCCUGCAUCACCUUCUAUUUCUUUCCCAAACUUUUCAAACUAUGGACCAUAUCAGUAAUUGUACAAUAUAUAACUCAAGUUUUAGAAAUUAUUUACAAUACAUAUCAUUUUGCAUACAAAAAUUGUUUAUUAAGUUUUUCAAACUACACAGCACACCAGUAAUUUCAAAAAUAUGUAUGAAACUUUACUGUAAUAAACUAUUUACAAAACAUGAAA